rnacentral:rRNA from 1 species
UCGAGAAUCUUCGGCAAUGGGCGCAAGCCUGACCGAGCGACGCCGCGUGUGGGAUGAAGGCCCUUGGGUUGUAAACCACUGUCAGAGGGGAUGAAAUGCACAAGAGCAAUCUCUUGUGUUUGACAUAGCCUCAGAGGAAGCACGGGCUAAGUUCGUGCCAGCAGCCGCGGUAAUACGAACUGUGCGAACGUUAUUCGGAAUCACUGGGCUUACAGGGUGCGUAGGCGGCUUGUUAAGUAGGGUGUGAAAGCCCCCGGCUCAACCGGGGAAUGGCGCCCUAAACUGGCGAGCUAGAGUGAGAUAGGGGUGUGUGGAACUUCCGGUGGAGCGGUGAAAUGUGUUGAUAUCGGAAGGAACGCCGGUGGCGAAAGCGACACACUGGAUCUUGUCUGACGCUGAGGCACGAAAGCCAGGGGAGCGAACG